rnacentral:rRNA from 1 species
UACGUAGGUCCCGAGCGUUGUCCGGAUUUAUUGGGCGUAAAGCGAGCGCAGGUGGUUUAUUAAGUCUGGUGUAAAAGGCAGUGGCUCAACCAUUGUAUGCAUUGGAAACUGGUAGACUUGAGUGCAGGAGAGGAGGGUGGAAUUCCAUGUGUAGCGGUGAAAUGCGUAGAUAUAUGGAGGAACACCGGUGGCGAAAGCGGCUCUCUGGCCUGUAACUGACACUGAGGCUCGAAAGCGUGGGGAGCAAAUAGG